CUAUUACUAUUUCACCGGCCAUAAAUCCGGCACCCGGCUGUGGAUUCUCGUAAAAUUUGGUAUCAAAAGAAAUAUUUUCUCCUCGUGCACAAUCUCCAAUUGGUUUCAUAGCCAAAAUCAUAGCCAAAUUUUCCAAAUCUUAAUUUUUAAGAUCGAGUUACUGUAGCCGACGAAAUUUUCAGCUUCUUCUUCACGUAAAUGGAACUUUGAAGAUCAUUCGGCUAUGGAUUCUCGCAAAAUGUGGUAUAAAAAAGAAACAUCUACUCUUCGUGCACAAUCCCCAGUUGGUUUCAUAGCCAAAAUCAUAACCAAUUUUUCCAGAUCUUAAUUUUAAAGUUCGAGUUACUGUAGCAUGUUUUGGUGAAGAUUUAUGAUACAUUGAAUUUUAAUAUCCCUAUUUUCAUUUCAAUUGUAGAUUGUUCUGUUAGAAGAUUUUGAAGAAGUUUUAGUAAUAAUCUACAAUUUUGAGGGGUUUUGGUGAAGAUUUAGACUUGAUCUUGACUGAAUUUCAGAUUGAAACUUGAAGAAGAAGACAUAUUUGCAGAAAUUAUAGAUAAAUUAUAGACUAUUUUUUCCAUAAGAUUUUGUAGAAGUUUUAGUCGUUUUGGAUUUGUGAAAACAGAAAAUAAUGCAUCCACAAUCAGAAUACAAAUAAUAUGCAAUUUAUCUAUAAACUGGAUACAUUGAAUUUUAACAUCUCAAUUCUCAUUUAUAGCUUUUUAAUGGCUAUCAAUGGUGGAAAAUAUAUGGAAGAACAGAUGAAGAUGAAGAACAGAAAUCUCAACAUCAUCCUGUAUUUUUUUGAAGCAGAUUGUAGAUUAGUAGUCUUAAUUUUGUAAAUAAAUUAUUAUAUCGAUUAUCUACAGUUUAUAAUUGUAGGUAUUUGUAGUCAUUUUGUAUUUAUAUUCUAAUUUGUCUUUAUAUUUUGAAGCUGAG
rnacentral:lncRNA from 1 species